rnacentral:rRNA from 1 species
UACGUAGGGGGCAAGCGUUGUUCGGAAUUAUUGGGCGUAAAGCGCGUGUAGGCGGCUUUGCAAGUCGGGUGUGAAAGCCCUCGGCUCAACCGAGGAAGUGCGCCCGAAACUGCGGAGCUUGAGUACCGGAGAGGAUGGCGGAAUUCCCCAAGUAGAGGUGAAAUUCGUAGAUAUGGGGAGGAACACCGGUGGCGAAGGCGGCCAUCUGGACGGAUACUGACGCUGAGACGCGAAAGCGUGGGUAGCAAACAGG